AUUCAGCUGACGAGUCUGAAAUUGGACGAAACGCGCGUCAAACUGGAC
rfam:Schistosoma mansoni strain Puerto Rico chromosome 6, complete genome